rnacentral:rRNA from 1 species
UACAGAGGGGGCAAGCGUUGUUCGGAAUUACUGGGCGUAAAGGGCGCGUAGGCGGCCUGCUAAGUCGAACGUGAAAUCCCCGGGCUCAACCCGGGAACUGCGUCCGAUACUGGUUGGCUUGAAUCCGGGAGAGGGAUGCGGAAUUCCAGGUGUAGCGGUGAAAUGCGCAGAUAUCAGGAGGAACACCAAUGGCGAAGGCAGCUCGCUGGGACGUGACUGACGCUGAGGUGCGAAAGCGUGGGGAGCAAACAGG